rnacentral:rRNA from 1 species
AGUGAACGCUGGCGGUAGGCCUAACACAUGCAAGUCGAACGGCAGCACAGUAAGAGCUUGCUCGUACGGGUGGCGAGUGGCGGACGGGUGAGGAAUACAUCGGAAUCUACUUUUUCGUGGGGGAUAACGUAGGGAAACUUACGCUAAUACCGCAUACGACCUACGGGUGAAAGCAGGGGAUCAUCGGACUUUUCGCGAGUGAAUGAGCCGAUGUCGGAUUAGCUAGUUGGCGGGGUAAAGGCGCACCAAGGCGACGAUCCGUAGCUGGUCUGAGAGGAUGAUCAGCCACACUGGAACUUAGCCACGGUCCACACUCCUACGGGAGGCAGCAGUGGGGAAUAUUGGACCAUGGGCGCACUCCUGAUCCAGCCAUGCCGCGUGGGUUAAGAAGGCCUUCGGGUUGUAAAGCCCUUUUGUUGGGAAAGAAAAGCAGCAGGUUAAUACCCCGCUGUUCUGACGGUACCCAAAGACUAAGCACCGGCUAACUUCGUG